AACGAACGCUGGCGGCAUGCCUAACACAUGCAAGUCGAACGAGACCUUCGGGUCUAGUGGCGCACGGGUGCGUAACGCGUGGGAACCUGCCCUUAGGUUCGGACUAACUCCCCGAAAGGGGUGAUAAUACCGGAUAAUGUCUUCGGACCAAAGAUUUAUCGCCUUUGGAUGGGCCAGCGUUGGAUUAGCUAGUUGGUAGGGUAAAAGCCUACCAAGGCGACGAUCCAUAGCUGGUCUGAGAGGAUGAUCAGCCACACUGGGACUGCGACACGGCCCAGACUCCUACGGGAGGCAGCAGUGGGGAAUAUUGGACAAUGGGCGAGAGCCUGAUCCAGCAAUGCCGCGUGAGUGAUGAAGGCCUUAGGGUUGUAAAGCUCUUUUACCCGGGAUGAUAAUGACAGUACCGGGAGAAUAAGCUCCGGCUAACUCCGUG
rnacentral:rRNA from 1 species